UACGGAGGAUGCGAGCGUUAUCCGGAUUUAUUGGGUUUAAAGGGUGCGCAGGCGGAUUUUUAAGUCAGCGGUCAAAUCGCGGGGCUCAACCCCGCUCCGCCGUUGAAACUGUGUCCCUUGAGUGCGCGAAGGGUAGGCGGAAUGCGUGGUGUAGCGGUGAAAUGCAUAGAUAUCGCGCAGAACUCCGAUUGCGAAGGCAGCGUACCGGCGCCAGACUGACGCUGAGGCACGAAAGCGUGGGGAUCGAACAGG
rnacentral:rRNA from 1 species